GUUUUCGCGGGAAGGAGGCGGGGCCGGGAGCUCACCUCUGCGGAGGGCGCCCAGGGGUACCCUCUGGGGUGAGUAAAAUGUUGAAGAUUACCAGUGAGAACAGACACCCUCGGCUUGUUCUUGAACUUAACGGGAAAGCAUUCAAUCUGGAACCAGGGAUGUUCAGGAGUGUUCUUGUCCUGCAACAGGUUAAGGAUCUGGUGUUGUCACUGAAGUAACUUGGGUUGCUGCU